CCAAUUUCUUGAAUAUUUCCAUAAAGCACUUAAACUUCUUUUCCUUCCUAUGAUAUUUCUUUUGAUGAGGAAGAGGUUUUGCAUAUGAUCUUUUCUUCUUUCCUCUCUUCCUCUUUUUCUUAAUCUCCUCCCUCAACUUUCUCUUUUUCUCUUUUCUUCUUUUCUUCUUUAUUUUCGCAUAUUUUUUCUUUUUUUCUUUUUU
rnacentral:lncRNA from 1 species